CGUGGCUUGGGUGAAAACAUUUCAUCCCGGGUGCAUUAAUGCGAGCUAGCGUUUGUUGGCUAACAGAAUGAGAGAACAUGAGUUACCAAGGUAAGCUACCAACGUGAAUCCAACGCUCCAUUACAGACGGAGGAGAGCAGCUACUCCAGCAAAGUGAUCGUGGUGGGGGACUCGGCUGUGGGGAAGACAACUCUACUCUUGCGCUACACACACGAUCGGGUAGCUUUUGACAGCACUUUCAAAACAACCCUUUCAGCAGACUUCAGCACAAAGACAGUUGACGUGUCGGGGGUAAAGGUCAAGCUACAGCUCUGGGAUACGCACGGGCAGGAACGUUUCCAAGCGUUGUCAAAGAUUCAUUACAGAAAUGCUGUCGGUAUUGUUAUGGUUUUUGACCUGAGCCAAAAGUCCAGCUUCAACCACAUCCAACAUUGGCGGCAACAGGUCCACGAACAUUGGCGGCAACAGGUCCACGAACAUGCCGGAGAAAAUGUUGACAUUGUACUGGUCGGCAACAGGUCCACGAACAUGCCGGAGAAGACGUUGACCUAAUACUGGUCGGCAACAAGGUCGACCUGGCCAAGAGCCGAGCCAUAGACCACGAGACGGCGAACUCCCUGGCCCAGACCAUCGGGGCCAUGUAUGUUGAGUGUAGCGCUAAGACAGGCGCCAACGUUGACCGGGUGUUCACCUCGCUGGCCGGCAAGUUGGCCAAUCGGGUGCCGGUACAACCGGAAGAGCCGGUACGUAUAGGAUCAGAACCAUUUUACCAGGUGCCUUGCUUUGGAAAAAAUACAUGUUCCUCUUUCUAAGCCACAAAGAUAGCGCAAACAAAAGAGUUGAAUUAAAAUUGCAUUUGGAUAAAAACUGGUACAUUCAUAUUUUAGCAAAGAUAAGUAGAAGACUUAUACUAGUCAAAUAA